UCCUUUAGUCGAACGAACCGUCAGAUACGGGAGAAGUCCUUCGGGAAGCCGGUGAAAAUCCGGCACAGCCCCGCCUACGGUAAGGAUGACAAAGCAUGCAUAUGCCACUGGCCCAAAGCCGGGAAGGCGCAUGCGAAGGAUGAAUCCGAGUCCGGAUACCGAAGCUUCUCCAGGCGCUUUC
rnacentral:ncRNA from 2 species